rnacentral:lncRNA from 1 species
AAGGUAGAGAAAGAAAGAAGAAACGUUGAAGGAGAUGGUGGUGUUUCAGGCAACGUGAGAAACUUGGAUAUUUUUGAGUUUUAUUUUUCUAAGCCUUUACAUUCUCCCCACCAAAUAAAAUUUUCGUCCCCGAAAAUUGAGGCUUACCAGAGAAGAAAAAAAAAGACACAACCUACUCUCAUCACAUCCUCUAGUACAUUCACCUAUUUUGACUAAGAUUCCACUCUUCAACGACCUUACUAGUAUGAAAAACCAUGCCUCUGUGUUAAAAUGCUCUAGUGUUCAAUAGUGUAGAUUGGUUUAGCCAUUAGUCUCUAGACAAAUCCGAACCCCUACCCCUCAACUUUUAAGAAUAUUUCUUUCAUAUAGCCAAUCCCAUUGGGUUUGUCACUCCGCCAACCCUUCGUAUAUCUUCCUUUCCUUCUUGUAAAUUUCUUCUAAAACUCCCACUAGUCUUCACUUCAGAUCAACCCUCGACAGAUACUUUUUUUUUACCUCUUCUUGUUUCUUCUAAGAACCAUCAUACCCCUGACUUGAUCGCCAAAACUUCUGUUUUAACUGCUAACUAUUAUGCUCUUGAUCACCUACCCUCACACUCAUUCUGAGAACUUCACAUUGCCUUACUGAUCUCAACUCUUGAGUAGCAUAGUUUCCAACUAUACUACCCUAUUACCAAAUUAAAUCUUUACUCCGCCGCAACAACAAAACCAAUUUAAGCACUCUAGCUACACUUCGUUAGCUUAAUGACCUUAACCAUAUGCAAUCCUUGACUUACUAGCAUGUAACAACACUUAGAUCUGUAACCUCUUCGACUUGAGAUCAUUAGCUUGAUCAGUAUCAAGCCAACUUAUGAUACAUCUCAAACUAAGAUUGUCCAAACUACGCUUUCUCAACCAUUUUGAGAAACCCACUAGUUAUAGUAUUUUAACUAUAUUGAUGAAAUUACUUUACAGCUUCACUAGAGACCUCAAUCUCCAUAUUCUUCAACCAACUCUUACUCAAUCCUUAUCAAACCAAGAACUUGAAUCUUCUCUUUGUUCGAACCAUCCGUUAACAUUUCCUCACCUCUAGAUUGUCAUGAUAACUCAAAACCAUAGCUCAAAUUGCCUCCUUCGUCCACUGACCCACUCUUCCUGUUCCAAAUGCAUAAAUACUUCCUUACUUUAAAGUUGACCCUGUAGCUCGAAAUCAUAUGCUCACCAUCAUCCGCUGCGCUACUCUGAUCCUUAACUUCCUUGCUCACUGGUAGACUCAAAGAACACUUCUUUGUGACAACUGUAAC